rnacentral:lncRNA from 1 species
ACAGAAGAGCUCUACUUCACAAUAGAGACCCGUUUCUCUGGAGACCAGUGUAAGUAUUUUAAUAUAAUUUCUUUUUAUAUUUUCUAUUAAACUGAUGAUGCCGUUUUCAUUCCAGCAUCGUUUGCUUACCAUGGUUAACUACAUCCGAAUGUCCAAUUCCAUAUAUAUAUUUAAAAAAAAAUAGAAUAUUAGCAUGCGAACAUUAUCUACCGCAGUAUUUGACAAGGUUAAGUAGAUCAACACAUAACAAACGAUGAUAUAGAUAUG